GUGCUUGCUUCAGCAGCACAUAUACUAAAAUUGGAAUGAUACAGAGAAGAUUUGCAUGGCCCCUGUGCAAGGAUGACACCCAAAUUCGUGAAGCAUUCCAUAUAUUU
ensembl:snRNA U6 U6 spliceosomal RNA